UUAACCUUCGGGGGGACGCUUACCACUUUGUGAUUCAUGACUGGGGUGAAGUCGUAACAAGGUAGCGCUAGGGGAACCUGGCGCUGGAUCACCUCCUUA
rnacentral:rRNA from 1 species